rnacentral:lncRNA from 1 species
AGAUAUCCUCGGGCCAUGGCUGAGACCCAGACGCCGGACACGGCGAUUUAAAAGGAGUGUUGAGCCACGUAUCGACGAUUUCCUUAGCGGUAUCUUUAGAAGUUGACAUGCCGGAGAGGGCUAAAACGUUGCAGUUAUUGAUGGAGCGGUUGUUGCGGGCUUCGUCGGAAGUGAGACACGUGGUGGCGAAAACGCCCGGGAAUUUGUUGGCGAAUAUCCCGACUCCGACGCCCGUUCCGCAAGCAAGGAGGCCACGGGUUUCGACAUCGGGCGAGGCGGUGGUACAUGAUGAGACCCGACGGCCGACUUCGGCGCCGACGUUGUAAUAGGAGGUGGUACCGAGGUCUUCGACUUCGAUGCUGAGGGAUUGGAGGUGGGAUACCAUCGCGUCUUUCAGCUCGGCGCCGAAGGAGUCCGCUCCCGCGAUGAUCUUGAGGGGGCGAGGUGCGGUGGCGGUGGCUGUGGCUGCAGCGGGAUCGGCCAUGGUACGGACGUAGGGGAGUAACU